ensembl:lncRNA
CGAGGCCGUCAGAACAUGUUUCCGCGUAGACUGGGCUGUCCUGUGACUACUGGCUGAAGAUUGUAAACACUGGUAAUAAAUUACUUAUCUUGUUGCAUUUGGCCAAUAGCAGGCACGGACUUUGCAGGACAAGCAUCAUUAGUAUUAGUGUAGCUGCACUUCCAAUGUAGAGUAUCGAAAGAAAUGUAAGUCAUGGUCAAAUAGGUAAUGAACAUUGAGGCCGUCAGAACAUGUUUCCGCGUAGAAUGGGCUGUACUAUGAAUACUGGCUAAAGUUUGUAAACACAGGUAUUUUUAGUACUUAACUUGUUGCAUUUGGCCAACAGCAGACAUGGACUUUGCAGGACAAGUAUCGUCAGUUUAAACAUAGCUGCACUCCCAAUGUAGGACCUCCAAAGAAAUGUGUGAGCAAAACAUAGACAAGUCAAGCUCAAAAAGGCAAUGAAUAUUCAGGCCGUCAGAACAUGUUUCCACGUAGACUGGGCUGUACUAUGACUACUGGCUAACGUUUAUAAACACAGGUAAUUUUAGUACUUAACUUGUUGCUUUGGGCCAACAGCAGGCAUGGACUUUGCAGGAUAAGUAUCUUCAGUUUAAGCGUAGCUACACUUCCAAUUUAGAACCUUGAAAUAAAUGUAAGGCAAAACAGACAAGUCAAGCUCAAAGAUGCAAUGAACAUCAAGGUUGUCAGAAAAGUUUUCUGCGUAGACUAGUGCUGUACAAUGACAACUGGCUCAAGAUUGUAAACACAAGGAAAAUGUUAAGAGCAAGCUAAAUGUAUUUUCCUUUCAAUAGCUAUCGUGUCAGAAUGUAUGGUUUUGACACCUGCUUGCAGUGAGGGUAGAGAUGUCAGAUCUGAAAGGAACCCAAACGCAGACCGGAUGAGUGCGGUGAAAAUCAAUUUAAUAUGAGAGGGUAGUCGUGGGCAAGCAGAGGUUUGGUACACGGGCGGUCGGCAGAGGUACAGACAGGGAGUAAGCAGAGCUGUCUUGGACAGGCAGGAGGUCAAUACACGGGCUGGUGAAGGUUGUCAGGAAGAUUCGGAUGUGGAUCAAAGAUCCGGCAAGGACGGGUCGUCAGGGCUCCUCAGAUAUACAGCCGGUGAUGAGCCAAGCGGGAACAGGUGUGUGAUUGGGUAUAGGGAACAGCUGGUACCGGCUCUAUUCAAAAGAGUGACGCCACGCCCCUUAAUGCGUUGCCCUGACAACCUGGAGCAACCAAGACAGAGCACCUCAGGGAAGGGAGGACAUGACAUAAAUACAACAUUUAAAUCAUCC